GAGUUCCGAGCGUGUGUUACUGCAGAAUUACUGGCAGAAGGCGCUGGCUGGUGUGGAAGCACGGUAUCUUGGUUUUGUAAUUCCUACCUCCGUCUUCCCGUUUGUCAUCUGGGAGGAGGUUCAAAUUUGUUCGACUGGAUCCAGACACUGGGAUUUAAGAGCAAAAGAUUUUAGUCAGUAAGCUAUCAAGAUGUAUCCACCAGCUGUUCGUGGUCGUGCGGUUCUAAACCUGGCUGGGCGCUUCGGAGCCAUGACGGUCCGGAAGCGCGCCAUCUCGGCUGCGGACGGUUCACGACGAUGCUUCAGCACUGAUUUAAAAGCAGACAACUUUCUCUCGGGAUCCAGCUCGGUUUAUGUGGAGGACAUGUACCAACAAUGGAAGAAGAACCCACACAGUGUU